GUAACUCUGGAGAAUCCCUUGAUUGGGUGCCGAAGGUGUAAGGGGCGGAUUUAUCCGCUUUAAUCUCUCAGGCAAAAGGACAGAGA
rnacentral:ncRNA from 1 species